UUUAUUUUCAUCAAUAUACCUAUUUUAAUUAAAGAUAAUAUAAUGCAGAGAAUCCACAAGAUAAAUAUUUAAAUUAAAAAACUUAUCUUCAAACUUUAUUUAAAAUGAGUUUUUAAAUUCAAUUUUACAAAGACUAGUUUUAAAUCACUUUUUAAUUCAAUUUUAAGUGAAUUUUUUUUAUGAGAGAAAAAUAAAUGAAAAACGUAGCAAGGAAAUUUGUAGCAGGCCAAUUUAUCCCGGGACAAUAAAAGCCUAAACCGACCAACCCAAAAACAAAAUUAAAACCAAAAUAACAAUAUAAAAGUCCAUUGUUUUUACAAGACCCAUUAAAAACCCAAAAAAUACAAAAAAAAACCUAACCCAAACUUUACAGACUCAUUACCCCAAGUUCCUACAGGCCCAAAAGGCCCAAGAGCCUAAAACAAUUCAGAAACCCUAGGGUUUCUGAAUCUCCUUUGCGCCGUACCCCUUCCAUGUGUGCCCUCGGCACGCACACCGCCCAAGGCUUGGCUUUGCCUGCAAUGUUGCACCUAAACAGCCAUCUACAGCCCCAUUGACCCAUUGUGUGCCUGCAAAAGAAAGCAAAAAAGGAAACAAAACAAGGCAACAGAGCAAAAAGGCGAAAACAGAGCAGAAACAAAGCAAGAAAAUAGCAAAGGCAUAGGCAAUAGUAAUAAUAUUAAAUCAAGUAUAUUUUUCGGCUAUAUAAGCCCAGAGACCAAACGUUGUAAGGUUUACACGCAUAUUAAGCAAUCAAAAGCAAAACAGAAGAAAAAUGUUAUUUCUUAUUUCUAUUUUUCUUGUGUUCUUUUCGUUCCUUUUAUUUUUAUUUUUUAUUUUUUACCUUUUAUUAUAAAUCUAUUUUAAAUAAUAAAAAAGGAAGAAGGGAAGAUUUACUUGAGUCACCCUGCGGUCUCAUCGUCGGAAGUCCCUUUCUCUGUCGUUGAGGUUGGAUCUAAAAAGGGGUCGGAGUUCUCAUUCUUCGGAAGUUGGGUCGGGAAGAUUUGGCCCCUUAAAAUACGAAGAAAUGAGGGUUAAACCCCCUUUUUUGCGUGACCUCGGCCACCGGCCACGGUGGGACCGCGGUGGGGAGUGGUACACCGGCGACGGGGCCCAAGGUCGGGUUGAAACCCUAGCAAAGAAAAGGGGGAGAGUCGUUUAAAGUUUUUUAAGAAAAAAGGCAGCAGAAUGAAAUUUUUUUUUAAAAAAAGGGUUUAUAUGCAGGAAUAAAACGGUGCCGUUUUGCACCCAAGGCCCCAGUUCCAAAACGAUGCUGCUUAAGACGACCCGCACGCGACCUGACCCGCUCCAGGGGGAUCCGGCAUCUUCGCUAAAUGGGCUAUUUAUGCCCUAGUCCUUCUGCAUUUUUGAUUAUUUAAAUUUAAUCCUUUAUUUUACUUUUCUUGUAUUUUUAAAUUUGACCACAUAAAUUUGCUCGGUUUCCAUCUCGGUCGCUAACCGUGGAUGCGCUGGAUAAUGGACACGUGUCCAGAGGUUGGGUUUUU
rnacentral:lncRNA from 1 species